rnacentral:rRNA from 1 species
UAGGGAAUCUUCCGCAAUGGGCGAAAGCUUGACGGAGCAACGCCGCGUGAGUGAUUAAGGUCUUCGGAUCGUAAAACUCUGUUAUUAGGGAAGAACAAAUGUGUAAGUAACUAUGCACGUCUUGACGGUACCUAAUCAGAAAGCCACGGCUAACUACGUGCCAGCAGCCGCGGUAAUACGUAGGUGGCAAGCGUUAUCCGGAAUUAUUGGGCGUAAAGCGCGCGUAGGCGGUUUUUUAAGUCUGAUGUGAAAGCCCACGGCUCAACCGUGGAGGGUCAUUGGAAACUGGAAAACUUGAGUGCAGAAGAGGAAAGUGGAAUUCCAUGUGUAGCGGUGAAAGGCGCAGAGAUAUGGAGGAACACCAGUGGCGAAGGCGACUUUCUGGUCUGUAACUGACGCUGAUGUGCGAAAGCGUGGGGAUCAAACAGG